rnacentral:rRNA from 6 species
CUUUCAGCGACGGAUAUCUCGGCUCA